rnacentral:rRNA from 1 species
UGGGGAAUUUUGGACAAUGGGGGAAACCCUGAUCCAGCCAUCCCGCGUGUGCGAUGAAGGCCUUCGGGUUGUAAAGCACUUUUGGCAGGAAAGAAACGUCAUGGGUUAAUACCCCGUGAAACUGACGGUACCUGCAGAAUAAGCACCGGCUAACUACGUGCCAGCAGCCGCGGUAAUACGUAGGGUGCAAGCGUUAAUCGGAAUUACUGGGCGUAAAGCGUGCGCAGGCGGUUCGGAAAGAAAGAUGUGAAAUCCCAGGGCUCAACUUUGGAACUGCAUUUUUAACUACCGGGCUAGAGUGUGUCAGAGGGAGGUGGAAUUCCGCGUGUAGCAGUGAAAUGCGUAGAUAUGCGGAGGAACACCGAUGGCGAAGGCAGCCUCCGGGGAUAACACUGACGCUCAUGCACGAAAGCGUGGGGAGCAAACAGG